CCUACGGGAGGCAGCAGUGGGGAAUAUUGCACAAUGGGGGAAACCCUGAUGCAGCGACGCCGCGUGAGUGAAGAAGGAUUUCGGUAUGUAAAGCUCUAUCAGCAGGGAAGAAAAUGACGGUACCUGAGUAAGAAGCCCCGGCUAACUACGUUCCAGAAGCCGCGGUAAUACGUAGGGGGCAAGCGUUAUCCGGAUUUACUGGGUGUAAAGGGAGCGUAGACGGGAGCACAAGUCUGGAGUGAAAUGCCGGGGCUUAACCCCGGAACUGCUUUGGAAACUGUGCAGCUAGAGUGCAGGAGAGGUAAGUGGAAUUCCUAGUGUAGCGGUGAAAUGCGUAGAUAUUAGGAGGAACACCAGUGGCGAAGGCGGCUUACUGGACUGUAACUGACGUUGAGGCUCGAAAGCGUGGGGAGCAAACAGGAUUAGAUACCCGAGUAGUC
rnacentral:rRNA from 1 species